rnacentral:rRNA from 1 species
UACGUAGGGUGCGAGCGUUAAUCGGAAUUACUGGGCGUAAAGAGUGCGUAGGCGGUUUAUCAAGUCCGCUGUGAAAUCCCCGGGCUCAACCUGGGAAUGGCAGUGGAAACUAGGAGACUUGAAUCUGGCAGAGGGGGGUGGAAUUCCACGUGUAGCAGUGAAAUGCGUAGAGAUGUGGAGGAACACCGAUGGCGAAGGCAGCCCCCUGGGCUGAGAUUGACGCUCAGGCACGAAAGCGUGGGGAGCAAACAGG